CCAUUAUGGCAUUUUUGGGAACAGAUGUCCAGGUCGCUCAUUUAUAGGCCAGUGGCGUGGUCGGUGACUUGACAACCUGCCUCCAGGCG
ensembl:misc_RNA